CAGGGAGUUUGGAGUUUACAGCACAGACAACAGUCGAGCUACACGUCUUCAAACUUUGCACCGUGGAUGUAAAACUUGCUAGGCAACCACAGUUUCCUGGCCCCAGCUUCAAGUGGGAGGCUCCAUCCUGGUGGAUAAACUGUUGGUGGAGUCUGGCAGAGACAUCUCGCUGCCAAACACUUCCCGGUACAGUGGUGGGAAACUGUAGGCGGUCUCCGGGUGGACCAAACGGAAAAACUCGAGUUUAUCAAUGUGGAUGUUACAGAUGGACUUCAUUGUGGGCAGCUUGGACACCAUCUGUGGGGACAGAAUAUAUAAAAGGACUCACCGAGGUCUGUUAUUGAGCAGUCAUCUGGUAGCUGGUCCAGCAGUGAAUGUGUGUGUCCCAGCAGCGGAUGAGAGUGUGAAUGCAGGAGCUGGAUCCCACUGCCGUCUGCCCCGUCCAGCAUGGUCUGCUGCGGAGAAUUCUGAUUUGACAAGGAUGAGGACGAGGAAGAAG